AACGAACGCUGGCGGCAUGCCUAACACAUGCAAGUCGAACGAGACCUUCGGGUCUAGUGGCGCACGGGUGCGUAACGCGUGGGAACCUGCCCUUAGGUUCGGAAUAACUCCCCGAAAGGGGUGCUAAUACCGGAUAAUGUCUUCGGACCAAAGAUUUAUCGCCUUUGGAUGGGCCCGCGUUGGAUUAGCUAGUUGGUAGGGUAAAAGCCUACCAAGGCGACGAUCCAUAGCUGGUCUGAGAGGAUGAUCAGCCACACUGGGACUGAGACACGGCCCAGACUCCUACGGGAGGCAGCAGUGGGGAAUAUUGGACAAUGGGCGAAAGCCUGAUCCAGCAAUGCCGCGUGAGUGAUGAAGGCCUUAGGGUUGUAAAGCUCUUUUACCCGGGAUGAUAAUGACGGUACCGGGAGAAUAAGCUCCGGCUGACUCCGUG
rnacentral:rRNA from 1 species